GUCCACGCCGUAAACGAUGUCAACUAGCCGUUGGGAGCCUUGAGCUCUUAGUGGCGCAGCUAACGCAUUAAGUUGACUGCCUGGGGAGUACGGCCGCAAGGUUAAAACUCAAAUGAAUUGACGGGGGCCCGCACAAGCGGUGGAGCAUGUGGUUUAAUUCGAAGCAACGCGAAGAACCUUACCAGGCCUUGACAUCCAAUGAACUUUCUAGAGAUAGAUUGGUGCCUUCGGGAACAUUGAGACAGGUGCUGCAUGGCUGUCGU
rnacentral:rRNA from 1 species